ACCAGGAUGGCCGAGUGCUUAAGGCGUUGGACUUAAGUUCCAAUGGAUGUAUAUCCACUUGGGUUCGAACCCCCCUCCUGGUA
rfam:Xenopus laevis strain J chromosome 2S, whole genome shotgun sequence.